rnacentral:rRNA from 1 species
ACAUACGACCAUACCCAUUGGAAAACUCGGGAUCCCGUCCGCUCUCCCAUAGAUAAGUCAAUGAGGGCUGGAGUAGUAGUCGGGUCGGUGACGACCGGCGAAUGCCCGGUGUUGUAUGUG